rnacentral:rRNA from 1 species
UACGUAGGGCGCAAGCGUUGUCCGGAAUUAUUGGGCGUAAAGAGCUCGUAGGCGGUUUGUCGCGUCGGCCGUGAAAUCUCCACGCUUAACGUGGAGCGUGCGGUCGAUACGGGCAGACUUGAGUUCGGUAGGGGAGACUGGAAUUCCUGGUGUAGCGGUGAAGUGCGCAGAUAUCAGGAGGAACACCGGUGGCGAAGGCGGGUCUCUGGGCCGAUACUGACGCUGAGGAGCGAAAGCGUGGGGAGCAAACAGG